CAGUUGGGCAGUUUGACUGGGGCGGUCUCCUCCCAAAGAGUAACGGAGGAGUGCAAAGGUACCCUCAGCCUGGUUGGCAAUCAGGCGUAGAGCGCAAAGGUAGAAGGGUGCUUGACUGCAAGACCUAUAAGUCGAGCAGAGACGAAAGUCGGCCAUAGUGAUCCGGUGGUCCCGAGUGGAAGGGCCAUCGCUCAACGGAC
rnacentral:rRNA from 1 species